AGUGAACGCUGGCGGUAUGCCUAACACAUGCAAGUCGAACGGCAGCACAGUAAGAUCUUUCUCUUACGGGUGGCGAGUGGCGGACGGGUGAGGAAUACAUCGGCAUCUACUUUUUCGUGGGUGAUAACGUAGGGAAACUUCCGCUACUACCUCAUACGUCCUACGGGUGAAAGCAGGGGAUCUUCGGACCUUUCGCGAUUGUAUUAGCCGGUGUCGGAUUAGCUAGUUGGCAGGGUAAAGGCCCACCAAGGCAACGAUGCGUAGCUGAUCUGAGAGGAUGAUAGGACAAAAGGGAACUGAGACACGGUCCAGACUACUACGGGAGGCAGCAGUAGGGAAUAGUCCGAAAUGGGCGAAAGCCUGACGGAGCAACGCCGCGUGAGUGAUGAAGGUCUUCGGAUCGUAAAACUCUGUUAGGAGGGAAGAACAAAUGUGUAAGUAACGAUGCACGGCUGGACGGUACCUAAUCAGAAAGCCACGGAUAACUACGUG
rnacentral:rRNA from 1 species